rnacentral:RNase_P_RNA from 1 species
GAAGCCCGCCAGGCCGUCGCUGGUGCAAGUGCCGAAAGGCCGCACUGGAGGAACGUCCGGACUGCACAGGGCAGCGUAGCAGGUAACACCUGUCCACCGCGAGGUGAGGAUCAGAGCAACAGAGACGUAGUCCCGGAGGUGCAAGCUUCCGGGGGUGAAACGGGCAAUCUCUACGCGCAGCAAUACCAAAUAGGCCAGCGUUGACGUGGUCCCGCGGAGCUGGCGGGUAGGUAGCAUCGAGCCGUGGGGGCGACCCCCGGCCCAGAAGAAUGAUGGUCACGCCCGGGCAACCGGGUGCACAAGAUCCGGCGUAUCGGCGGACUUCACAC